AUUGAACGCUGGCGGCAUGCCUUACACAUGCCAGUCGAACGGCAGCACGGGUGCUUGCACCUGGUGGCGAGUGGCGAACGGGUGAGUAAUACAUCGGAACAUGUCCUGUAGUGGGGGAUAGCCCGGCGAAAGCCGGAUUAAUACCGCAUACGAUCUACGGAUGAAAGCGGGGGACCUUCGGGCCUCGCGCUAUACGGUUGGCCGAUGGCUGAUUAGCUAGUUGGUGGGGUAAAGGCCUACCAAGGCGACGAUCAGUAGCUGGUCUGAGAGGACGACCAGCCACACUGGGACUGAGACACGGCCCAGACUCCUACGGGAGGCAGCAGUGGGGAAUUUUGGACAAUGGGCGAAAGCCUGAUCCAGCAAUGCCGCGUGUGUGAAGAAGGCCUUCGGGUUGUAAAGCACUUUUGUCCGGAAAGAAAUCCUUGGCCCUAAUACGGUCGGGGGAUGACGGUACCGGAAGAAUAAGCACCGGCUAACUACGUG
rnacentral:rRNA from 1 species